AGUGAACGCUGGCGGCAGGCCUAACACAUGCAAGUCGAACGGCAGCACAAGAGAGCUUGCUCUCUGGGUGGCGAGUGGCGGACGGGUGAGGAAUGCAUCGGAAUCUGCCCAUUUGUGGGGGAUAACCUCGGGAAACCGGGACUAAUACCGCAUACGACCUACGGGUGAAAGCAGGGGAUCUUCGGACCUUGCGCAGAUGGAUGAGCCGAUGCCGGAUUAGCUAGUUGGAGGGGUAAAGGCCCACCAAGGCGACGAUCCGUAGCUGGUCUGAGAGGAUGAUCAGCCACACUGGGACUGAGACACGGCCCAGACUACUACGGGAGGCAGCAGUGGGGAAUAUUGGACAAUGGGCGCAAGCCUGAUCCAGCCACGCCGCGUGUGUGAAGAAGGCCUUCGGGUUGUAAAGCACUUUUGUUGGGAAAGAAAAGCAGCCGGUUAAUACCCGGUUGUCAUGACGGUACCCAAAGAAUAAGCACCGGCUAACUUCGUG
rnacentral:rRNA from 1 species